CUGCAGGCGAUACGGGCAUAACUUGAGUGCUGUAGGGGAGACUGGAAUUCCUGGUGUAGCGGUGGAAUGCGCAGAUAUCAGGAGGAACACCGAUGGCGAAGGCAGGUCUCUGGGGCAGUAACUGACGCUGAGGAGCGAAAGCAUGGGUAGCGAACAGGAUUAGAUACCCUGGUAGUCCAUGCCGUAAACGGUGGGCGCUAGGUGUGAGUCCCUUCCACGGGGGUUCGUGCCGUAGCUAACGCAUUAAGCGCCCCGCCUGGGGAGUACGGCCGCAAGGCUAAAACUCAAAGGAAUUGACGGGGGCCCGCACAAGCGGCGGAGCAUGUGGAUUAAUUCGAUGCAACGCGAAGAACCUUACCUGGGCUUGACAUACACCAGAUCGCCGUAGAGAUACGGUUUCCCUUUGUGGUUGGUGUACAGGUGGUGCAUGGUUGUCGUCAGCUCGUGUCGUGAGAUGUUGGGUUAAGUCCCGCAACGAGCGCAACCCUUGUCUUAUGUUGCCAGCACGUUAUGGUGGGGACUCGUGAGAGACUGCCGGGGUUAACUCGGAGGAAGGUGGGGAUGACGUCAAAUCAUCAUGCCCCUUAUGUCCAGGGCUUCACACAUGCUACAAUGGUCGGUACAACGCGUGUGCGAGCCUGUGAGGGUGAGCUAAUCGCCGUAAAGCCGGUCGUAGUUCGGAUUGGGGUCUGCAACUCGACCCCAUGAAGUCGGAGUCGCUAGUAAUCGCAGAUC
rnacentral:rRNA from 1 species